rnacentral:rRNA from 1 species
AUAAGAAAGCAGAUCGCAUGAUCAGCUUUUAAAAGGCGGCGUAAAGCUGUCGCUAGUGGGGAUCGGCCCCCGCGGUGCAUUAGCUAGUUGGUAAGGUAAAGGCUUACCAAGGCGAUGAUGCAUAGCCGAGUUGAGAGACUGAUCGGCCACAUUGGGGACUGAGACACGGCCCAAACUCCUACGGGGAGGCAGCAGUAGGGAAUCUUCCACAAUGGACGCAAGUCUGAUGGAGCAACGCCGCGUGAGUGAAGUAAGGUUUUCGGAUCGUAAAAGCUCUGUUGUUGGUGAAGAAGGAUAGAGGUAGUAACUGGCCUUUAUUUGACGGUAAUCAACCAGAAAGUCACGGCUAACUACGUGCCAGCAGCCGCGGUAAU